rnacentral:rRNA from 1 species
AGCACCUGAUGCAGCCAUGCCGCGUGUGUGAAGAAGGCCUUCGGGUUGUAAAGCACUUUCAGUUGUGAGGAAAGGUUGGUAGUUAAUACCUGCCAGCUGUGACGUUAACAACAGAAGAAGCACCGGCUAACUCCGUGCCAGCAGCCGCGGUAAU